AAUGAACGUUGGCGGCGUGGAUUAGGCAUGCAAGUCGUGCGCGAUGAGUUUGGUGCUUGCAUUAAACUCUGAAAGCGGCGAAAGGGAGAGUAACGCGUGGAUCAUCUACCCUCGGGUCUGGGAUAGCUGCGGGAAACUGCAGGUAAUACCGGAUGAUGUCCCUGGACCAAAGGUGUAAUUCCGCCUGAGGAUGAGUCCGCGUCCUAUUAGCUAGUUGGUGGGGUAAUGGCCCACCAAGGCUAAGAUGGGUACCGGGUGUGAGAGCAUGGCCCGGCUCACUGGGACUGAGACACUGCCCAGACACCUACGGGUGGCUGCAGUCGAGAAUCUUCCGCAAUGGACGAAAGUCUGACGGAGCGACGCCGCGUGCGGGAUGAAGGCCUCGGUUGUAACGCUGUCAGUUGGGAGGAA
rnacentral:rRNA from 1 species